rnacentral:rRNA from 1 species
GACGAACGCUGGCGGCGUGCUUAACACAUGCAAGUCGAACGGAAAGGCCCUGCUUUUGUGGGGUGCUCGAGUGGCGAACGGGUGAGUAACACGUGAGUAACCUGCCCUUGACUUUGGGAUAACUUCAGGAAACUGGGGCUAAUACCGGAUAGGAGCUCCUGCUGCAUGGUGGGGGUUGGAAAGUUUCGGCGGUUGGGGAUGGACUCGCGGCUUAUCAGCUUGUUGGUGGGGUAGUGGCUUACCAAGGCUUUGACGGGUAGCCGGCCUGAGAGGGUGACCGGCCACAUUGGGACUGAGAUACGGACCAGACUCCUACGGGAGGCAGCAGUGGGGAAUAUUGCACAAUGGGCCGAAGCCUGAUGCAGCAACGCCGCGUGCGGGAUGACGGCCUUCGGGUUGUAAACCGCUUUCGCCUGUGACGAAGCGUGAGUGACGGUAAUGGGUAAAGAAGCACCGGCUAACUACGUG